rnacentral:rRNA from 1 species
GACGAACGCUGGCGGCGUGCUUAACACAUGCAAGUCGAACGGAAAGGCCCUGCUUUUGUGGGGUGCUCGAGUGGCGAACGGGUGAGUAACACGUGAGUAACCUGCCCUUGACUUUGGGAUAACUUCAGGAAACUGGGGCUAAUACCGGAUAGGAGCUCCUGCUGCAUGGUGGGGGUUGGAAAGUUUCGGCGGUUGGGGAUGGACUCGCGGCUUAUCAGCUUGUUGGUGGGGUAGUGGCUUACAAAGGCUUUGACGGGUAGCCGGCCUGAGAGGGUGACCGGCCACAUUGGGCCUGAGAUACGGCCCAGACUCCUACGGGAGGCAGCAGGCGGAAAUAUUGCGCAAUGGGCGGACGCCUGAUGCAGCAGCGCCGCGUGCGGGAUGACGUCCUUCGGGUUGUAAACCGCUUUCGCCUGUGACGAAGCGUGAGUGACGGUAAUGGGUAAAGAAGCACCGGCUAACUACGUG